AUGAGACCUGGGGAGAGUUUUUUGUGGAGGUGGUGAAAACCUUUGGUGAGACAGACAAAAGUAGGAUGUACCACUUUUCUCCCCUUAGGCUUUAAAAGCUUUACUCACUUCAUUGUUGUCUUCAACAGCCAAUUAUGAUGCAGCGCGUAUGAACCUGAAAAAAGCCCAAACCAGGAGCACCCUGACAUCAGAUGAUGAAGGGGGUAAAAUAAGGAGAAUGUAAGCACUGUGCAGUAAUCUAUACUAUGAAAACCAUCAGCUACACAAAACAAUGCAUGCUUAUUGAGUGAUUUCUUUUCUAAUGCAGCCCUUCCUCAAAGCUGAAAGAAACUGCCUGCAGAUGAGGGGGAGAAGCAUACAAGGUCUGAUUACAGAUGGCCAUGCAUUAUCACUCACAUGAAGACAUUUUGUGAUUGGCAAGUUUGCAGUCUUACAAAACUGUUGUUGUUCAUACUCUUGUACUGUUCCAAUGUAUAGGGCUAAGAAAAAAGAAAAAAAAGGAGUCCUCCACAAGCCCCUGCUUUCCCCACCUGCUUUUAGAUCAUCACAGCAGGACAUACAUAAAGUUGCUGCCCACACAUCAGCUGCUCUUGAACAGGCCUCUGCCCAGAUCUCUGGCAACAUUCAAAGUCAAUUCGAACGGGAUCAUGCACUCCUGCGUGCUGUGGAGGAGUUGAAGGCCUUGGUGAGGCAGAACAACCUCCUCCUCCAGG